UUUUUUUUUUUUUGCUUUUUUAGAGACAGGGUCAUGCUCUGUCACCCAGCUCAUAGCUCACUGCAUCCUCAAACUCCAGGGCCCACGGGAUCUUCCUGCCAAGCAACUGGGACUACAGGCUCAGCCCACCAUGCCUGGCUGUUUUUUUUCUUUUGGUGGAGAUGAGGUCUCACUAUGUUGCCUGGGGCUGGUCUUGAACUCCUGGUCUCAAGGAAAUCCUCCCACUUAUGACUCCCAAAGCACUGGGAUUACAGGCGUGAGCCACCUUGCCCAGCCAUGUUCAUUAUCUUGAUUGUGUCAGUUGCCUCUUUGGUGUAAAAUAGGUCGAAAUUUACUAUGUUGUACACUUUAAAAAUCUAUUAAUAGGUUAAAUAACAUGAAAUAAUUGUUUUUUAAUUCCUAAUAUUUGCCUAGGGAAUACAACCAACCUCUUCAUCACAUGAAGACAUUUUUUUCAUGCUUUUCCAUGUUCCUGAAAUGCCCUCCCCUAGGAGCUUCCUCCAAUUUAUCUACUCUUUCACAUUCAAGAAGGUAAUGGAGUUCCAUCUUCCUCCAUUAACUCCCCCAUACUGAAAUCUGCUAUAUCUUUCAUUCAUUUGAAUCUUAUUGUUACAGUACAUACGAUGGAAAUCUAUAAUAUUUUUAUUGCUAUAGUUAUCAUUUCAGUUGUUAUGUUUUCUGCUUAUUUUUGUAUCAGAGUUGAAUCAAGAUGUUUAAGUCUCUGGAGAGUUAAGUAUUUUGUAGGAGGAAGAAUAUCAAGGUUGUGGAAAAAAAAAAAAAAAAACCUUGUUGUGGCUGAGAAACUGGGCUGGAGUCAGGAGGCUGGUGAUGGCCCCAGUUCUACCACUAACUAGCCAUGUGCCUACGAUGCUUCAUUUCACCUCUUGAGAUCUAAAUUUCCCCGUACGUCAAAGCAAAGAGACAGAUCUCGCUUUGUCGCCUGUCAACGGCUAGAGUGCAGUAGCGUGAUCAUAGCUUACUGCAGCCUCGAACUCCUGAGCUCAAGCAACCCUCCCUCCUCAGCCUUCCCAGGUCUCCUGAUUUCAAGUACAGUUCUUGCCAACACACAGUGGUAAAGGGUAUGAUUACCUAAGCCUUAGCACAGAAGGUAGCACCCCUUACUGGUGAGCUAUCAUGAAACUAUGCGACAAUUUUCUCCAUCUUUUUUAGAGUUGUUUUCCUUGUCUUCCUCCUCAUCACGAUUAUUAUUGCUUUUUCAUUCAGCAAAAAAUCUGGUAGGAGACUGCACAGAAGCAUGAUCACUUGCUAUCAACAGUGUAACCCUACCUAACUUCCCUAAUCCCUAGCAAAUGAAGGAAAAAUCAUAUACAGGCACUGACAAAUAGCAACACAAGAAAGGGCAACAAAAUUACUAAAGAGUAACGCCAUCCUCCCCAACUCAAACCAGGGAAAGUAAGCUUGCCUAGGAACUUAGGCUGAAACUCACCACAGUGCCAAAAACCUGUUUUCUUGAAAAGAGGUAGUGCAGAUAGUGAAUCCACUGAGCCACAUAGGGUGGGAGUUUGCUUUAAGUGCUUUUCUUCUUGCCCACAAACUAGCGUAGGCUGUGACUGGCUCCAGCUGAUCCUUAUCAAGGCAGCUAGUUCUGAGGGCUUGGUUAAGAAGCUCUUCGUUUACUUAAGGGAGCAAAGAGAAGACACGUGAAUUGGAAAAGGAUAUCUAAAAUGUCCCCUAAGGCUUCAUAAAGUUGACAUCUUUCGUCAUGACUUCUACAGUUCAGGAAACCAGGUAGCAGUAAACAAUUAUGAACUCUACUCACUCGCCCUAUCACUUUCACAUCAAACUGGGGGUACUGUCCUUUGAACAGAAGACUCAUGAGGAAAGCGCAGAUUCCUUCCAGGUGGGAAGAAAGCUUUGUCCCUGCUCCAUGUCUGCUGAUCUGCAGGAAGCAGAGAGAGCAGGGCUGUUCGACUCCGUUUCCCUAAUGAUGUCCCAGCCUCUUUCAGUUCUGUGAGCAAAACCAAGGCUGGGUUUGUUAGCACAGCCUGUGACAGAGCCUGGGCAGGUCCUUGUAUUCUGGCAAAGGCUGAACCAAAGAGCAGUCUCAUUGCACUAUUUACUUUCUUUUUGUUAUACUCUCUCUGGCUCAGCACAAUCAGUGCAGUCCGAUGCUGCAGAAGACAGACUGUUCCCUCUCUCUUCCCACAGUGUUUCUCGUCUACCUUUUGCCCUUAUUCAAUAGUGGGAAGAAAUUUCUUCUUGACCUCAGCAAUCCUUUCUGACAAUUACCAUAUGCCUCAAGAGACCUGGGAAGCUUCGCCCUGUCUGGCACAGGGAGACAAUUCCUAUCCAGAAUAAAACUGAAAGCUUUCAAAAAAAAAAAAAAAAGAAGAAGAAGAAAAGAAAGAAAGAAAGAAAGAGAAAAAGAAAGAAA
ensembl:lncRNA LINC01252 long intergenic non-protein coding RNA 1252